rnacentral:rRNA from 1 species
UGAGGAAUUUUCCACAAUGGGCGAAAGCCUGAUGGAGCAAUACCGCGUGAGGGAAGAAGGUCCGUGGAUCGUAAACCUCUUUUCUCAGAGAAGAAGUUCUGACGGUAUCUGAGGAAUAAGCACCGGCUAACCAUGUGCCAGCAGCCGCGGUAAUACAUGGGGUGCAAGCGUUGUCCGGAAUGAUUGGGCGUAAAGCGUUCGUAGGUGGUUCUUAAAGUCGAUUGUCAAAUCCCAGAGCUCAACUUUGGAGAGGCACUCGAAACUCAAGGGCUAGAGGGCGGUAGGGGUAGAGGGAAUUCCCAGUGUAGCGGUGAAAUGCACAGAGAUUGGGAAGAACACCAGUGGCGAAGGCGCUCUACUGGGCCGUAACUGACACUGAGGGACGAAAGCUGAGGGAGCG